GGACGGGUGAGUAAUGUAUGGGAAUCUGCCCGAUAGAGGGGGAUAUCUACUGGAAACGGUGGCUAAUACCGCAUAAUGUCUACAGACCAAAGAGGGGGCUCUUCGGACCUUGCCCUAUCAGAUGACCCCAUAUGGGAUUAUCUAGUAGGUGGGGUAAGGGCUCACCUAGGCGACUAUCUCUAUCUGGUCUGAGAGGAUGAUCACCCACUCUGGGACUGACACACGGCCCACACUCCUACGGGAGGCAGCAGUGGGGAAUAUUGCACUGUGGGCGCAAGCCUGAUGCACCCAUGCCGCGUGUAUGAAAAAGGCCUUAGGGUUGUAAAGUACUUUCAGCGGGGAGGAAGGGGAUAGGGUUAAUACCCUUGUCUAUUGACGUUACCCGCAAAAAAAGCACCGGCUAUCUCCGUGCCAGCACCCGCGGUAAUACGGAGGGUGCAAGCGUUAAUCGGAAUUACUGGGCGUAAAGCGCACGCAGGCGGUGUCUUAACUCAUAUGUGAAACCCCCGAUCUUAACUUGGGAAUUGCAUCUGAAACUGGUGGGCUAGAGUCUUGUAGAGGGGGGUAAAAUUCCGUGUGUAGCGGUGAUAUGCGUAGAGAUGUGGAAGAAUACCGGUGGCGAGCGCGGCCCCCUGGACAAAGACUGACUCUCAUGUGCGAAAGCGUGGGGAGCAAACGAGAUUAUAUACCCUGGUAGUCCACGCUGUAAACUAUGUCGAUUUAGAGGUUGUGCUCUUGAAGCGUGGCUUCUGGAUCUAACGCGUUAAAUCCACCGCCUGGAGAGUACGGCCGCAAGGUUAAAACUCAUAUGAAUUGACGGGGGCCCGCA
rnacentral:rRNA from 1 species